AAGACUAUAUUUUCAGGGAUCAUUUUUAUAGUGGGUGACUAGAGGAGUUUCUCUGGAUGAUUAGAGCACUGCAGACCACAGGCACGAGGCACAGGGAUCUCUCCCGAGCAUGCAGCCAGUUCUUGGUGCUGCUUUGCUACAAGUGACACUGCCAUUGACGAUCAUUAUUCUCUUCCCUUGGGAGACUGAGAGGGAGAGAACACAGUCUGACUGAA